GACGUAGGGCGCGAGCGUUGUCCGGAUUUAUUGGGCGUAAAGAGCUCGUAGGCGGCUUGUCGCGUCGUCCGUGAAAACUUGGGGCUCAACCCCAAGCUUGCGGUCGAUACGGGCAGGCUAGAGUUCGGUAGGGGAGACUGGAAUUCCUGGUGCAGCGGUGAAAUGCGCAGAUAUCAGGAGGAACACCGGUGGCGAAGGCGGGUCUCUGGGCCGAUACUGACGCUGAGGAGCGAAAGCGUGGGGAGCGAACAGG
rnacentral:rRNA from 1 species